AUUGAACGCUGGCGGAAUGCUUUACACAUGCAAGUCGAACGGCAGCAUAGGUGCUUGCACCUGAUGGCGAGUGGCGAACGGGUGAGUAAUACAUCGGAACGUGCCCAGUCGUGGGGGAUAACGUAGCGAAAGUUACGCUAAUACCGCAUACGAUCUAAGGAUGAAAGCGGGGGACCGUAAGGCCUCGCGCGAUUGGAGCGGCCGAUGUCAGAUUAGGUAGUUGGUGAGGUAAAGGCUCACCAAGCCGACGAUCUGUAGCUGGUCUGAGAGGACGACCAGCCACACUGGGACUGAGACACGGCCCAGACUCCUACGGGAGGCAGCAGUGGGGAAUUUUGGACAAUGGACGCAAGUCUGAUCCAGCCAUUCCGCGUGCAGGACGAAGGCCUUCGGGUUGUAAACUGCUUUUGUACGGAACGAAAAAGCUCUUACUAAUACUAGGAGUCCAUGACGGUACCGUAAGAAUAAGCACCGGCUAACUACGUGCCAGCCGCCGCUGUAACAC
rnacentral:rRNA from 1 species